UACAGAGGUCCCGAGCGUUGUUCGGAUUCACUGGGCGUAAAGGGUGCGCAGGUGGGUUGGCAAGUUUGAUGUGAAGGCCCCGGGCUUAACCCGGGAAUGGCAUUGAAUACUGCUGAUCUGGAGGAUCGGAGGGGGGACUGGAAUUCUUGGUGUAGCAGUGAAAUGCGUAGAUAUCAAGAGGAACACCAGUGGCGAAGGCGAGUCCCUGGACGAUACCUGACACUGAGGCACGAAAGCCAAGGGAGCAAACAGG
rnacentral:rRNA from 1 species